UCUGUCAUUUCUCGUUCGGUCGCCUGGUCGCCUAUCCACCAGAGGUGAGAGAAUCUAGAUCGAACGAGAUCCCCAAUCCUGGGCUCGCUCCUCGCUCCUCCUCUCCUCUCCAAUGGCAGCCUCCUCUCCUCCCCCAUUUUCGUUUCUCCUCUCUCCCCCUCGACUGGAUGCGGGAGCCAGCGGCGGCAUGUAGAGCCGUGUCGAGGCGGCUGGAGGCUGGAGGCUGGGAGCACGCGCCUAGCGGCGGCGAUGGCGGCUGGAGGCGGUGUUCAGCGCGUCGAGGAUGGCCGCCGCCGAGGACGGAGCGGCAGACCCUUUCGUGGGCGGCGACUACGACCAGAUGCAGGGCGUGCGGGUACGACCUAAAGCUGAGCUCUCUGGUGCUGUACACGGCGGCCGGCGCGACGAGGCGGCGGCGGAGGGUGGUGGUGUUUGAGGCGGACGGUUGUUCUGCUGCAAGUGCGGCGCCCACCUCCACGUGCGGGCGCUCCGCCUCUUCUUGCGCCGGACGCGGUUGCUGUGCUGCAAGUGCGGCGCCCACCUCGGUUACGGCUACCACGAGCAUGACACCACUGCCGACAGCAAGGCUCCCCGGUUCCUUGCCUUCUGUUGAAAUAUAGUGUUGUUUCUGUGGAGGAGGUAAAAGAGGAGUCAUAUUUUUGGUUCAGAUUUCUUGCCAAUAAUUAUCCCUUUGGCUGCAUUGUGUUCUUCCGGCAACUAUGUUAAUUGCUCUGAGGUGAGGGCUUCGAGACCCUCAUAUUGUUUCGUGAAUAGCUGCUGGCUUACUGCUACUUUUUGCUGCCAUUUCCCUGGGAACAUGUUUUUGAGGAAGUGUGAAAAUCAUAUAUAUAUCUACACCAGGAUAUAUUGGAUUUAGUAGAACACCAAAGAAAAAAAUAUAUCCAUCAUGUGGAGUGUGCUCUUACCCCAUCUGGCAUGUGCUAAAUAAAAUUUUGCACUCUUCCCUUUUAUGUAAACUUUCCAUUCCUCCGGUAUAUUAGAUCAUUCAGUAGGCAUGCAACCAGAAACAUCAACUUGUUUUGCACUUUUAAAUAAGAUGCUUCGAUUUUAAUUUUGGCUCUACAAGCGAAUGAUCAGUGGGUAUUCUAUGGGUAAUAUUUGUGUCGUAAUGCAUAAUGAUUUUUGUUCUUUUUUCCAAGCGUUUCAGGUUGAUCAUUUUGAUUAUCAUUAGCUGGUCAUUUACUCGUCUAUGCUUAAAACUGCUUAGUUGUGGAAAUGUAGUACUUUACCUAAGUGGUUAAACUCUCAUUAUCUACCACGCCUUUCUAAACAUGUGUUGUUGCUAGCUUCAGGUAAAUCUUCUCCCAGUUCUGUUGUAUAGACCAGGUGCCAAUGUACAAAGUUGUAUGAUUAAAUUCCCCCUUGCAAGUUUAACUCUCUCAUUAUCUACCACGCCUUUCUAAACAUGUGUUGUUGCUAGCUUCAGGUAAAUCUUCUCCCGGUUCUGCUGUAUAUGCAUGUUUACUAUUUAUCACUUCGCAGGUUCUGAUUCGCGCGUAACAAUUUUUUCUUUGUUGUAAAUAUACAGGUGGGAUCCUUCUGCUUACUUAUAACCCUGAUUGGUAUUGCAGGUUCCUGUAAAUAUACAGGUGGGAUUUGGAGUCUAUAUCGAUUUUGACUGUCUUCUCCCGUAAUUUUCCCACCAGGAGGCGCACUAGCGGAGCCAACCAUGGAAGCGCUGCCCUACAUACUUCUCAUCCGCGCGAGGAGCCUGUUUCCCAACAGUGGCGGAGCCAACCAUGGAAACACUUCCCUACAAUCUUCUGUUCCGUUCGAUUGUACAUGCAGAUGCAGGUGCAGCCUUCUCCGCCUUGAUUUAUUCUGGCCAGCUUUCCAUCCUAAUCUCUAACAUGUGUCCUGUCUUUAUUUUUUUUCUCCCACAAGAUUUGGUUUGAUGUUGAGAUUUGGCUAUUUUGCUGAUUGUAUCCUCUAUAUUUUCUUCCAGUAUCUCCGUUGGAUGCUCAACUCCCAUAGUUUAAGGAAAUGAAACAUCUAUUAAAUCGUGAUAUCGAUGAUCAAUUUCGAUCUUGUAGUAGAUCUAACAGAAAAAAUCGUAGGGUACCAUAUGGGCUUACAAUCUAGGACCUAUGGAUUACUAAAUCGCUGUGAGUUCAGAUACAUAUAAGGGAAAAUUUGAUUGCUCUUUUUCUGUUGUGGCAUGGUUGCCUAAAUAUUUCUAGAUAAAUUGCAUAGCUGCUGCGAGAAGGCACAACCCCGAAGUCACCCAGUAGCGGCGCUCCUCUUUGUCAGAGUGCAUCACCGGUGUACUUCGCCACCGUCUCCAGCCAGUCGGCGGCCAUUUCUCUUGAAGUUCGCUCGCGCCUCACCGUGAUUUUACCCAGCGUCCUCCGGUGUGUACCACCAACCUGCGGUGCGGCGCACGGACCCGCUGCUACUGAGGCAUGUCCGCCGCCGCUGAGGUGACAUAUAUAGCAGCAAGCACGAUUGCGCGGAGGUUGGCUUGCAGGAGGAGUGGCCCGGCAAGAUUGGUUCAACAUGUCAUGGCAAUGCACGACCGCCUACAUUUCUGUCCAGCAGAUACUGGUUCGAGUUCCCACAGUUUUUUUGCCCCGCCAUUCUUAGAGUGGUUAUGGAACAUUCUUUUCCGUCUCAGCCAUGGUAGAAUGAACAGGAGCAUUCAACGCAUCAUGGCUCUGAUCAACUCCAAACAUGUUAGGUGCUCAGAUUUGUGAUUUUGGUGCCUAAUAAGUGUUUGUUGUUAUGCCAGAACGUAAGCAGUUAUUUUCAGAUUUCUUAUUUAGUCUAUGUGGGCUAGAGUAAUGUAUUCAGCUGCCCAACAUGCAGUGCAUCUAGGUCUCGAUUCAAUUUCGCCAGGUGGUGCGCUGAAUACUCCUGCUGAUUCUAAUGGUAUUGGGAAAUAUGCGGCAAAACUUAUAUGAGCUGGAUUUCAAUGUUGUUGCCAUGAGGGAAACACAAUGGAGGUAUGUGUGCCAGCCAAUCGUACAGGUCAGUUCAAAGAACUUCUGAAGAAAGGCUAUGUGUGUACCAGUCAAUUGUAUAGGAUACAUCUCGCAUGGGUGAGAUCAGAAGGUCCAGGUCAUUGUUUGGCAAUGUAUCUGUGGCUUACGCUGAAAACUUCCUCUCAUAAUGAUGGUUGCUGUGUGACCUUAUCAGUGGUUUAUGUUGGAAGCAAGCAUGUUUUUUGAUAACUUCUUCUACGCUGGUGACUGUUGGCUGAAGUUAUUUCAGUGCGAGAACUGAGCUAUACUUCAAGUGUAUCUCUGCUGUAAUCAUUAGCAUCAGACCCAUGCUAUGUACGGAAACUGUGUCAACAUAAUAUUAUUUCCAGGGAGGGUUGCUGAUGUACUGGCAGGUGUAACUCGCCAUUCUAGGAAGAAUUGGUGGGUUGUCUCCGCUCCUGAGACCCAACACUUCCGAGCGAGAAGAAGCUCAUCUGUUCCCGUCACUUGCUGAAAAUCUAACAUAAAACUGUUUGUUCUUUACUGCCACAAUACCAUCUGGAGCAGGCUGUUGCCUGAGUGGUGCUACUUCUUCGAGCUCAAACAUGCAAGAGCCAUCUGGGCUUCUGCGAUUUUCUGUCGGCAGGGCGGCGAAACUACAACCUCCACGGCGGAGGCCUUCUUCGAGUCUGCUGCUGGAGCUUGGCGCCUCCUCUUCAUCAAGUGGUGUGUCCCCGGUGAACUGAAGGUGACCGGUGGCUUCGACUCUUCGUCAGGAAUGGAGCUGUUGAGCAUACUGCUCUGGAUCCUCGGCGGCGACGCUUGAGGAUGUCGGCGAAUGGUGGCCGCGGCGCCCAGGGACCCGAUUGCUUUUCUAUUUUUUGUCCUAGGGUGUUUUUUGUUAAUGUAGAGGGCCUUUCUUCAAAUUCUAGGUUUCUCAGGGCGAGAGAUGUAAAGGGUCCUCUUUGCAAUUUCUACCCGCCACGUAUGGAUUGAAUGGAUAUCUGGGGCCUUGUAGGUCCUGUCCUCGUGCAAACUUUUUUUUUGACCCUUUUGAUAGUUGUAUCUACAACUGGUACCAAUAUUUUUUCCAACGUUUUCAUUUUCCUGCCAUGUAAAGUGCUCUCUAUGUUAGUUAGGCAUAAAGUAGAUGCCCAAGAUAUAUUUAGAACAUGUUUGGUAAUGUGCAAUGUCUCCAUUCCAGGUUA